AAUUGGAGGGCAAGUCUGGUGCCAGCAGCCGCGGUAAUUCCAGCUCCAAUAGCGUAUAUUAAAGUUGUUGCAGUUAAAAAGCUCGUAGUUGAAUCUCGGGAUUGACACAUCGGUCGUGCCUUAAGGGGUAUGAACUGGUGUAGUCAAUUUCUCACCUUCUGGAGAACCGCGAUGCCCUUAAUUGGGUGUCACGGGGAACCAGGACCUUUACUUUGAAAAAAUUAGAGUGUUUAAAGCAGGCAUUUUGCUUGAAUACAUUAGCAUGGAAUAAUAAAAUAGGACGGCAUGAUUCUAUUUUGUUGGUUUCUAGGAUCACCGUAAUGAUUAAUAGGGAUAGUUGGGGGCAUUAGUAUUCAAUUGUCAGAGGUGAAAUUCUUGGAUUUAUUGAAGACUAACUACUGCGAAAGCAUUUGCCAAGGAUGUUUUCAUUAAUCAAGAACGAAAGUUAGGGGAUCGAAGACGAUCAGAUACCGUCGUAGUCUUAACCAUAAACUAUGCCGACUAGGAAUCAGACGAUGUUAAUUUUUUAAUGACUCGUUUGGCACCUUACGGGAAACCAAAGUGU
rnacentral:rRNA from 1 species